UGGAGGCGUGCCUAACACAUGCAAGUCGAGCGGAGAUAUAUUGAAGAGCAAUCAGAUAUGUAUCUUAGCGGCGGACGGGUGAGUAACGCGUGGGCAACCUGCCUUACACAGGGGGAUAACACAGGGAAACUUGUGCUAAUACCGCAUAAAAUCAUAGGAGGACAUCCUCUAAUGAUCAAAGGAGCAAUCCGGUGUGAGAUGGGCCCGCGUCCAAUUAGCUAGUUGGUGAGGUAAUGGCUCACCAAGGCGACGAUUGGUAGCCGAACUGAGAGGUUGAUCGGCCACAUUGGGACUGAGACACGGCCCAGACUCCUACGGGAGGCAGCAGUGGGGAAUAUUGCGCAAUGGGGGAAACCCUGACGCAGCAACGCCGCGUGA
rnacentral:rRNA from 1 species